GCUACGGGGUGCAGCAGUGGGGAAUAUUGGGCAAUGGAGGCAACUCUGACCCAGCAACGCCGCGUGAAUGAUGAAGGUCUUCGGAUUGUAAAGUUCUGUGAUGGGGGAUGAACACAAUGACGGUACCCCAAUAGCAAGCCACUGCUACGUCCGUGCCAGCAGCCGCGGUAAUACGUAGGUGGCAAGGGUUAUCCGGAUUGACUGGGCGUAAAGGGUGCGUGGGUGGUUUAGUAGGUUGGCGGUGUAAUUCAGUGGCUAAACCUCGGAUCUAGCGCCAAAACUAUUAGUCAAGAGUGCAGGGGGGGUAAGUGGAAGUCCUGGUGUAGCGGUGGAAUGUGUAGAUAUUAAGAGGA
rnacentral:rRNA from 1 species